rnacentral:tRNA from 1 species
GCCUCGUUAGCUCAGUUGGUAGAGCAGCGGAUUGGCUUACAAAAAAUCGGCGCGUGUCCCUAGUUCGAUUCCGGGACGAGGCACCA